UUUUAGAGAAUAGAAAAGGUAUUGAGAAGUUUAAGAGAGAGUUAAGAGUGUUUAAGAGAAAGUGUAUGAGAUUAUCAUGAUGAACUAGAGAGAGAGACUCAUGGAAUCGUGUUAUUUAUUAAUCAAGACUGAGUUUACAAUAUAUAGGAUCAGAUACAAGGGUUUUAGAGAGACUAAGCAUGUGAGGUCAAGGAUAAGGUUGCUUUAAUUCAAACUUGAUCCAAUGGAAGCUGUCACACGUUUUUGGCAUCUUGGACCAGGUUCCUUUUGCCUUUACAGCCUGUUCCAGCCUGUGUGGAUAAGGCUCAGUCACUCUAUCCAUCCAAACGGUCAUCUCCCUUAAGGUAAAUCCCUUUGGCCGUUUACUCCUUUCACGCGGUAACUCCUCUUCUUGGUCGAGUGUUGGAUUGAUCCGGACCGUACGGAUGGUACGGCCGGUACGGCCUUGUACGGCCUGAUCAUUCCCAAGCUCUCCCUCUCUUUGCCUUCACACUAUCUCAUUCCCAACUCCUUAAGCCAUCUUCUCCCAUAUUGAUCAACUCAUUUCAACAUUCAGGCCAGAUGAUGUUGAGUUCCAAGAUUUGAAGACUGGAAGGGUCAUUGGGAGAGGAGACAGCAAGAAUAAUCUAUACCAGCUCCAAUUGGCUAAGAUCUCUAAACCCUUCGAUUCUAUGUGUUUGAGUAGUACUUAUGAGA
rnacentral:lncRNA from 1 species